AGUGGCGGACGGGUGAGUAACGCGUGAGAAUCUGGCUUCAGGUCGGGGAUAGCCACUGGAAACGGUGGAUAAUACCGGAUGUGCCGAGAGGUGAAAGAUUGAUUGCCUGAAGAUGAGCUCGCGUCUGAUUAGCUAGUUGGUGGGGUAAGAGCUUACCAAGGCGACGAUCAGUAGCUGGUCUGAGAGGAUGAUCUGCCACACUGGGACUGAGACACGGCCCAGACUCCUACGGGAGGCAGCAGUGGGGAAUUUUCCGCAAUGGGCGAAAGCCUGACGGAGCAAUACCGCGUGAGGGAGGAAGGCUCUUGGGUUGUAAACCUCUUUUCUCAAGGAAUAAAAAAAUGAAGGUACUUGAGGAAUAAGCAUCGGCUAACUCCGUGCCAGCAGCCGCGGUAAUACGGAGGAUGCAAGCGUUAUCCGGAAUGAUUGGGCGUAAAGCGUCCGCAGGUGGCAGUGUAAGUCUGCUGUUAAAGAGUCACGCUUAACGUGAUAAAGGCAGUGGAAACUACACAGCUAGAGUGUGGUCGGGGCAGAGGGAAUUCCUGGUGUAGCGGUGAAAUGCGUAGAGAUCAGGAAGAACACCGGUGGCGAAGGCGCUCUGCUAGGCCAUAACUGACACUGAGGGACGAAAGCUAGGGGAGCGAAUGGGAUUAGAUACCCCAGUAGUCCUAGCCGUAAACGAUGGAUACUAGGCGUUG
rnacentral:rRNA from 1 species